AAUUUGAGAGAUUAGUACAAAGUUUUAAUGGGAUCAUAUGUGGCAACUUUCUAAGAGCAAACCUAUCACCCAAGAACUGGAUUACAAAAUCUUUAGUGGGUCCAAUAAUUGUUCACCACAAAUUUCAUAUCUACUGUCAGUCUGUUACUGAUUACAAUUUCAUAUCUACUGUCGGCUGUUACUGAUUAUAUAUAUGAGGGAUUACUUGCAUACUAUUCUUAUCUCAAGUUUAUUUGAUUUUUUUUUCACGACUGUAUAUAAAAGAAAGAGAGUCAAAAUAUGAUUUUCUGUAACUCAGAUCUGCAAUGUUUGGAAAGAAAAA
rnacentral:lncRNA from 1 species